rnacentral:lncRNA from 10 species
AAUUUGGGAACGAGAUGCCCGGGGAUGCAACCAGCCCCGCGCUCGGAGGCGGCGGUCGGAGUUCCGUGCGCAGAGGGCACACAAAAGCCUCGAGGAUCAUUGCCUCGACCCCAUCCCCCACCGCGCGGCGACGCCCCCUACGGGCUGGGACACCUCCACUCUCGGACUGCUGCCGGGUUUCCCUCCGGCUGCGACCCUGGAGGAUUUGAUGGAAAUGCUACAAGAGAAGCAGGCUCUCCCCUUCUGAAAUGAUGAGUGAUAAUGACCAUACAGGUCAACUUUUCCACCACUUGGAGGGAGCCUGUCAAAGAACAAAGGCAACAGAGAAGAGAGCAGAGCUGAGGUUGGGUGAGAGGGAGAAAUUCCUGAGUGCUUGAAUCCCACAUGCCGGAAGCCGCACCACACUUGGACUUCUCAAUACAGGAGCCACUCAUCUGUAGGAUCACUUCGAUUUGCACUCUU